rnacentral:rRNA from 1 species
GUGCGUAAUAGCUCACUAGUCGAGUGACACUGCGCCGAAAAUGUACCGGGGCUAAACAUAUUACCGAAGCUGUGGAUUGUCCUUUGGACAAUGGUAGGAGAGCGUUCUAAGGGCGUUGAAGCAUGAUCGUAAGGACAUGUGGAGCGCUUAGAAGUGAGAAUGCCGGUGUGAGUAGCGAAAGACGGGUGAGAAUCCCGUCCACCGAUUGACUAAGGUUUCCAGAGGAAGGCUCGUCCGCUCUGGGUUAGUCGGGUCCUAAGCUGAGGCCGACAGGCGUAGGCGAUGGAUAACAGGUUGAUAUUCCUGUACCACCUAUAAUCGUUUUAAUCGAUGGGGGGACGCAGUAGGAUAGGCGAAGCGUGCGAUUGGAUUGCACGUCUAAGCAGUAAGGCUGAGUAUUAGGCAAAUCCGGUACUCGUUAAGGCUAAGCUGUGAUGGGGAGAAGACAUUGUGUCUUCGAGUCGUUGAUUUCACACUGCCGAGAAAAGCCUCUAGAUAGAAAAUAGGUGCCCGUACCGCAAACCGACACAGGUAGUCAAGAUGAGAAUUCUAAGGUGAGCGAGCGAACUCUCGUUAAGGAACUCGGCAAAAUGACCCCGUAACUUCGGGAGAAGGGGUGCUCUUUAGGGUUAAC